rnacentral:lncRNA from 1 species
AGCAAAGGCAGACAAUAGGCAUUGAGUCUCAACUGAACACUGUUUCCUCCAGAAUAUUUCUCUUCCAAAUUUCUCUUUCUCUUUCAGGCUGAGAGUAUGGCCCUUUGCAGAGGCUUACAUCUUUGUGUAGCUUACAGCGUGUUUGCACACUCUUUGGAGGCUGACCCGCGCUUGCUCCUCCUGGUCUCUAAGAGCAUCUGUGACAACUUCUGUGCUACAUUUGGGAGUCCAUUCCGAUGA